CUUUCCCUCUUUCUUUAGGCCUAACACAUGCAAGUCGAACGGCAGCACAGUAAGAGCUUGCUCUUACGGGUGGCGAGUGGCGGACGGGUGAGGAAUACAUCGGAAUCUACUUUUUCGUGGGGGAUAACGUAGGGAAACUUACGCUAAUACCGCAUACGACCUACGGGUGAAAGCAGGGGAUCUUCGGACCUUGCGCGAUUGAAUGAGCCGAUGUCGGAUUAGCUAGUUGGCGGGGUAAAGGCCCACCAAGGCGACGAUCCGUAGCUGGUCUGAGAGGAUGAUCAGCCACACUGGAACUGAGACACGGUCCAGACUCCUACGGGAGGCAGCAGUGGGGAAUAUUGGACAAUGGGCGCAAGCCUGAUCCAGCCAUACCGCGUGGGUGAAGAAGGCCUUCGGGUUGUAAAGCCCUUUUGUUGGGAAAGAAAAGCAGCAGGUUAAUACCCCGCUGUUCUGACGGUACCCAAAGAAUAAGCACCGGCUAACUUUGUG
rnacentral:rRNA from 1 species